CACUGCGCUCUCGGCGCGGGGCGGGGGAAGGGGCGACGGGCGGGGAGGGGGCCACCGCCGACGUAGUGGUGGUGCGGUGGCAGCGGGACGCAACCGGGUCGUCAGCGGUGGUGGCGGUGGCUGCCGUGCGGCGGGGACACGAAGAAGAAGCUCGCGCUUGCGCUUUCGCGAGCGAGAGGGCCACCGCUGCUGCUGCUGCUGCUGCUGCUGCUGCUGCUGCUGCUGCUGCCGCCGAUACCGCCGCCGUUGCCGCCGCCGUUGCUGCCAUUGAAGGAACGCAUACCCGCCUUCGGACGCGGUCGGCUCGCCUGUUCGUGCGAGCAAGCAGGAAAAAGGCCGACCACCUACUCGCCUACACUACUGAAGACCGAUGGCUACCACUAGUUCGAUCGUACGUGCGUGCGGAUCAAAAUCCGCAUAGCGUCUUCCUCAACUGAUUUAUUUUCGCCUCUAUCUUUUAAUAAUCAUCUCUUGAGUGUUUUUAUCAUUUAUAAAAUAUUUCUUUUGAUUUGAAUUUUUUCGCAAACAUAAAGGGCAGAACAUGAAUGGGCAAAACAUACAAUGUGAUACUUGAAACGAUUUGGAAUUUAAAAAACGUAUUAUGAAAAGUACUAUGGGAUCAACACGCGAAUUUCUAUGUAAUAUUUUCCAAAACAAAUCUCUAUUAAUUUCGAAUUGCUUGCGUUAGGAACAAUUUACUUGAAAUAAAUAUAUAUGUACGUACGUGUAAUAAUAUAAAUUUUAAAUGCUGAUAUAAUUCAUAAACAAUGAGAAAGUUUUGCUAGAAAUGAAUUAAUUGUUCAAUUAAGUAAUUGGACUGAAAGAAAUUAAUUUUUAUUUUCAUAUGCAAGCAAUACGAACAAUUGCUAAAAUUUGAUCGAUUCUGAGAGAUAGCAUCUUCUACCGAUAAAAUUAUUAGUGGCAUUUGAAGAUCCCACAAAGAGGGAUCUUCUAAGACCUUUCACACGCAUAAACGAUCCGUUGCUUUUCUCAAUGAACAGAAUUGAAUGCGAAGCAACAAUAUUAAAUUAACAACGAAUUCGUUAUGUAUACGAUGACUACACUGCCCACAAUAAUGGAUUAUUAUUUGCAUUCUAAAUUUCUCUUACAAAAUAUAUAUUCUCUUUAAGUAGUAAAGUGAAAGGAAUGAAAAGAACAAGUUAAACGCAUCAAUAUUUGCGCAACGUUAACGUAACUUGCUACUUGAGACGCAAACUACAAAGAAAAUCUAUAAUGAUUGAGUAGAUAAAAUCAUUAUUCACAAAGAUUAAAUAACGAAGCGCUUUCUCCUAGGACUAUCUUGACAUCGAUAUUCGCGGUAGGUAAGAAAGGAAUCUCCAGAUCCGAAUUUGUCGCAGUCACGCUCGUCUACUCCUGACGACGUUCCCGAUGGACCGUCAGGGAGCUGUCAAUCACCGUUCAGGGACUUCUUGGAAUCCCCGAACGACGACACGUACUAGACGAGCCGUUCUAACCUAAACUGGAUGAUAAGCUAUCGAAAUCGAUAAAGACCUAAUGAAGGAGUGACGUGGAAAAAUUUUGGCAUGAGGAUUUGAAGGAUGGGAAAAGGAAUCGGUUCGUUGGGUGCGAGGUUCGCCGCGUCAUCCGACAAAUCGUGAAUCCGAGAGACACGAGGAAAGGAAAAUACCGGAAGAGGAGGGGCGUUUGAGCAAAGCAUCGGGACCAGGGGGCAAUUAGUUAAUUGAAUUGAUUGAUGGAUUUCGUUCGCGUAACGCGCGCUUCGACUCAACGUCUGAUUGAGAGUCUCCACUCGGCCUCCAUGUGUACACACAAACCGUCUACCCCGCAGCAUUUCGCACCCAAUAAAGGAUUCGAACGUGGCUUUUAGAAAGGCUAUGUAGGUAUUAGAAAAUUUCCUUGCCUGUGUAAAUAUUUGAAGAAUUUGACAAAGUUAUUCUAAUUACAACGCUGAGCUAAACUAGCUUUACCACGCCCAAUAGAACCUUUCGAAAAUCAUUUUAAUGAAUACGAAGAUAAAUUCAACAAUAAGAUUACUUCUCGCGGGUGCCUCUCGAAUUAGAAUCGUGGAUCUCGCGAGUAUGGUUAAUCCAGUUUUAAAAUGCGCUACAGACACACUAAUAAGUUGAAACCAGUCAAUUAGAGCGCUUGCUCCGGCGUCCUAAGCAAACACUUGCAGGUGUUUGAACGGCGUUCGCGGCUAUGGUGGGUACGGUCGGUGCGAGGAGGUGUAAGGCCAACGAGAAAGGGUAAAAGCUCCCUCGGUAUGGUGUCUACUAAUGUAAUAUCGCGCAUAGGAGGCAAGAAUAGAUGGAGAAAUGCGUCGACGAGCUCAUAGACGAGAGCCCAAACCAAGUUACGUCUUCUAAUUCUCUAUAUGUUGGAUGGACAAAAAAUAUUUAUAUUCAUUUUAUAAAAAACAGAGGCGCAUUUUUGAUGAUAAAAUAGUCAUUUAAUGUGAUAUAGGAAGAUACUCGAUUAAUUGCUACAAUCUUCAUUUUUUCCUUCACUUUUUAAUUCUCCUUUUUUCUACCUAUUUCUGUCUUUGUUUUUCUACUUCAUCGAUAUUUGUAAUCUUCGCGUUCGCUCGUCGUACGCACGUCAUUUGCCAUGUUGCCUUUCGACAAAACUUUCAAACAAACUCCGAAGCUUUAGAGAAGUGAAUCGCGCUGAGAGUGACAGAGGGAUGUCUUUCCAAAGACAAAGACCGCGCUUCUUGCUGAGACAGAGAGAAGAGUGGAAAGAGGAGGAAAAGGAGAAGAAGGGAGAGGACCUAAAGCUCUAUCCUUUCUCAUCUUUAGACAAUUCUGAGGGAAGACGGUUUAGGCUCGUUCACGAGAAACUCGGUAGAUCAAAGGGAUUUUGAAGAUCGUUCGGUAAAGCACGUUUGACUUUGUGACUCACGUUUUCAGCGAGCGUAUCAAUUAGACCACACUAUUAGAAACGAUCCUACGUCGUAUCUACUACCACCACUAUUCGGACCAGACUUUACGUGUCGUGAAUGUACCUUUUCAACAGAGUUCUAACCCUUUAACAUUGCGAAAGACUUUACCGUCCGUAACAAAAGAGCGCGAAGUAGAUUAGAAAUGCUUAUGAUAUACCAUAGAGAUACUUUGAGAUUCGUUUAUCGCCAGCUUUGCGAUGGAAUCACACUUUAAAAAGAAAUAAAUAUUUACUUAUUGUUAAAAGCUUUUCAUUGUUAACGUUAAAUUAACAUUAGAUCACGAAAGUGAUUAAAAAUGAAUGAAUGAUAAACAUGUAUCAAAAUGAUGAAUGAUGUAUUUUUUACUGCAAACACAUUUAAAUUAUUGUAUACUCAAGUCUAAAAAUCAAAUUGCGCCUAUGAUUGUUUUCUCUUUUAACAUAGCAAUAAAGGGUUCAAAAAAGAAAGAAAAAUAUGAUGCAAAAAUGAUCGUGAUCACAAAAUCGGGUAUUAUAUUGUGAUAACCUGUUAGCUGGGAAUGACAAUUAACUCGCCAUAGGAAAAUACUUCUCCAGCGCAUAAUAUGAGUUAACUUAUCAAACAACUUUAAAGACUAUGCACAUAAAUUUUAAAUUGUAUAUAUCUUUUAUUUUUUAUUAUCAGUUCAUUGAGGACAGAUUUACGAAAUAUAUAGAAAAUAUUAUAAUAAUAAAAUGGAAUGACAAAAAAAAUAUUUUCAUACUUAGUACAUUUCACAACGACGUAAUGGACAUAAUAAAUAAAUGUAGUAAUUGAAAAAUUAAUACCACGCAGUCCUUAAUUAUAAAAAGAAUAUGGGGUACGUGGACGUAAGUAACAUCCAAAUUGCAGCUUAUAAGGCAUCAAGAAAUGGACUAAAAAGAUAUUAUACAAAAAUAUUUUUAUUCAUUUUGGAUAUUAUCUACAUGAAUUCGUAUGAGCUAACGACGUGGUGGAAAGUUAGGUAAAAUAUAUUUCUUAGUGAAAUAUACUGAGAGAACUAUUGCGUGUAAUAUACGCUUUCAUAUGAGUCACGAAAAUUUACAACUUUACUCAAUUAUCAAUCAGUUACUCCGAAAGCAACAUGCUUCACUGAAAGGCAUUUCUCAGAUUAUAUAUCUAGUUCAGCAUCCAAAGUAAAUGUAGCUCGUAGAUAUAUGCUGUGUUUAAUGAAAAAAAAAUUCUUAAGAAAUCAAGAUAUUAGUGUCCCAUCUGUGAAAUAAUAUUA